AGUGAUGAGGCGCUGGAGUCAUUGCCUGGUUUCAAAGAGAUUGUGAGCAGGGGAGUAAAAGUGGAUUACUUGACUCCAGACUUCCCUAGUCUCUCGUAUCCCAAUUACUAUACCCUAAUGACUGGUAAAAUGAUACGGAGAAGAAAAAGCUUGUGUAGUUCAGGUUCCCCAUUUGUGAUUUGCAGCAUCUACAAAAGGCCAACCAACAAAAACUCCACAAAACAAAUAAAACCUCAGCUAACCCAGACUGCCUGGGCUUGGGAUAGCUGAUUUUCCUAAGACGGCCUUCAUCUGAAAUUGCCAGGACUCCAAACGCGACUGCACGAACCUGAGCCUCUAUCCGUGCAAUAAUAGAAUGUGCAGCCCUCUCUCUGCUCACAGAGUUGGAUUCCCAGUUUCUGGUUUGUUUUUCAGCUAUAACCUUUGUAAAGGCAGCGAGAGACUCUCAGAAAGAAUUUAGCAAACUAUCCAGGGAGGCUGUUAAGAAUGCACUGUUAUUGCUGGUUAUGCGGGACUCAGCUAUGUGCUCUGAGCACAGAGAGAGCUCUACUAAUUAUGUUAACA
rnacentral:sRNA from 1 species